CCUACGGGAGGCAGUAGUGGGGAAUAUUGCACAAUGGGGGGAACCCUGAUGCAGCGACGCCGCGUGGGUGAAGGAGUAUUUCGGUAUGUACAGCCCUAUCAGCAGGGAAGAACAAUGACGGUACCUGACUAAGAAGCACCGGCUAAAUACGUGCCAGCAGCCGCGGUAAUACGUAUGGUGCAAGCGUUAUCCGGAUUUACUGGGUGUAAAGGGAGCGCAGGCGGCGCGUUAAGCCUGGUGUGAAAGUCCGCGGCCCAACCGCGGGACUGCAUUGGGAACUGGCGCGCUGGAGUGCCGGAGGGGUAGGCGGAAUUCCUAGUGUAGCGGUGAAAUGCGUAGAUAUUAGGAGGAACACCAGUGGCGAAGGCGGCCUACUGGACGGUGACUGACGCUGAGGCUCGAAAGCAUGGGGAGCAAACAGGAUUAGAUACCCGGGUAGUC
rnacentral:rRNA from 1 species